AUUGAACGCUGGCGGAAUGCUUUACACAUGCAAGUCGAGCGGCAGCGCGGGGGCAACCCUGGCGGCGAGCGGCGAACGGGUGAGUAACAUAUCGGAACGUACCCUGUCGUGGGGGAUAACUAUCCGAAAGGAUAGCUAAUACCGCAUACGACCUGAGGGUGAAAGCGGGGGACCGCAAGGCCUCGCGCGAUAGGAGCGGCCGAUAUCGGAUUAGCUAGUUGGUAGGGUAACGGCCUACCAAGGCGACGAUCAAUAGCUGGCGUGAGAGCGCGACCAGCCACACUGGGACUGAGACACGGUCCAGACUCCUACGGGAGGCAGCAGUAGGGAAUAUUGGACAAUGGAGGAAACUCUGAUCCAGCCAUGCCGCGUGAUAGAUGAAGGCCCUCUGGGUUGUAAAUAUCUUUUAUCUGGGAAGAAACACUCCUAUUCUUAGGAACUUGACGGUACCAGAGGAAUAAGCACCGGCUAACUCCGUGCCAGCAGCCGCGGUAAAGUAGUCG
rnacentral:rRNA from 1 species